UGCCUCACUGCAGAGAAGGGGCACUAAUGAUUGAAGCCAUGCAGAUCUUUAAAAUGAACAAUUAUUCUGGACAUGGUGGCACAUGCCUGUAAUCUCAGCUACUCAGGAGGCUAAGGCAGGAGGAUUGCCUGGUCAGGGCCAGCCGGGUAAAUGAGUGAGACCCUGUCUCCAAAAAUUCAGAAAAAGGGCUAGCCCAGCACAGUGGAUCAUGUGUGUAAUCCCAGCAGUUCAGGAGGCUGAGGCAGGAGGAUCACAAGUUUGAGGCAGUUUCAGCAACUUAGCAAGGCCCUAACCAACUUAGUGAGACCCUGUUCCAAAAUUAAAAAUAAAAAGGGCUGGGGAUGUGGCUCAGUGGUUAAGCGCCCCUGGGUUCAAUCUGCAGUACCAAAAAAAAAAAAGGCACUGAGGUUCCAGCAGCUGUUACAAAGCUUACUUUCAUCUUAUUUGUGUGCUGUGCUAGAAGUCCCGUCUGCCUCUUGCCCCUUUUAGCCUGGUUCUUGUAACCUCCCCAGUGUCACUCAUUUCAUAUCCAACUCCCCUCCUGCUCUGGUUUGUCCCCAGUGUCAGCCUUCACCCGAGCUCCUCGUCUGCUCUUUGCCUCUGGUUUUGGUUCUUGUUUUCACCUCAUUUCACUUCUCAUUUCUAGUUAACACCCUUUAUUUGGGCCAGGGGUGGAGAGCAUGGGGCUGUGUCCGUGCUGGUUGUGCACACUGCUGGAGCCUGCGGGGUGAGAUGAGAAGAAGGGGGCUCAAAAGCCCGCCUAGGAAGACUUGAGGUUGCAUGGAGACACUAACCCGCAUCUGGAUCUUCCAAGGGGCUUUAUCUCAUCCAUUAUUGGAAUCCUAGGAGGUAGAAAAAGUCCUCAUUUUAUAGGCUGGGUGCAAAAAAGUCACCAAGCCAGGAAAAAGCCAGUCCUAGUUCCAGCCCUUCACUUCUCUGCCUGAGAAUGUCAGAGCUUCAAGUUUCAAACAGACCCAGGCCUCAGCAGCUCCUUGUCUUCUGCCCCAAAAUGUGGUGCCAAAACAUUUCUCUGAUGCUGAUCCCCGACAGCUAGAGCCUCCCAGCUUUCAUCAUCCUGACCCUUGUCACCUCUUUAAUUCCACUUUUCAAAACUCCGAUUGGACCUCUAUCCCUCCUGCUGCUUUUUUUAUAUUUUUUUUUUUGGUGGUGGAGGUGGAUGGUUGGUUCUGGUGACUGAACCCAAGGGUGCCUUACCACUGAAUUGUAUCCCCAGGUGUUUUUUUGAGACUGUCCCGAGACUUGGGAUUCUCCUGCCUCAACUCCCAAACUGCAGGGGUUCUAGGCAUGCCCCACCGGGCAGGCAUCCUGCUGCAGUUUCCAAGUCAAGCCUUCCAUUGCGCCUUCCACUCCCAGAGGAGAUCCAAGCCUGCCGCAUCCCACCCUGCCCAGGCUUCCCCCUCCACUGCCCUUCCUCUCUCCCACUCUCCUCCAAAGGCAAGUCUAUGUGCAUUAACUCGUCGCUGACUUGGACCUUUGUAAAUUUUGUCAAUAUUUACCUCCGGUUCCCAUAAAGCCAAGAUGCCCCCAGAGGAGCCAAUAUCCGCAGGCUGCUGGAGGUGGGAAGAGGGAUACUUAGGUAGGGGAGCAUUUUCCAUCUUCCUGAAUUGGCUGGGAACUGACCUGGAGUUUUGGAACCAGUUUAAACAUUAUCAAAAAGAGGA
rnacentral:lncRNA from 1 species